rnacentral:sRNA from 1 species
GCCGGGUGCGGUGGUGCACGCCUGUAAUCCCAGCGGCUCGGGAGGCUGAGGCAGGAGGAUCGUGAGUUCAAAGCCAGCCUCAGCAACCAUGAGGCGCUAAGCAACUCAGUGAGACCCUGUCUCUG